rnacentral:rRNA from 1 species
CAGGAUGGACCCGCGUCUGAUUAGCUAGUUGGUAAGGUAACGGCUUACCAAGGCGACGAUCAGUAGCCGACCUGAGAGGGUGAUCGGCCACAUUGGAACUGAGACACGGUCCAAACUCCUACGGGAGGCAGCAGUGGGGAAUAUUGCACAAUGGGCGAAAGCCUGAUGCAGCAACGCCGCGUGAGUGAUGAAGGCCUUCGGGUCGUAAAACUCUGUCCUCAAGGAAGAUAAUGACGGUACUUGAGGAGGAAGCCCCGGCUAACUACGUGCCAGCAGCCGCGGUAAUACGUAGGGGGCUAGCGUUAUCCGGAUUUACUGGGCGUAAAGGGUGCGUAGGCGGUCUUUCAAGUCAGGAGUGAAAGGCUACGGCUCAACCGUAGUAAGCUCUUGAAACUGGGAGACUUGAGUGCAGGAGAGGAGAGUGGAAUUCCUAGUGUAGCGGUGAAAUGCGUAGAUAUUAGGAGGAACACCAGUUGCGAAGGCGGCUCUCUGGACUGUAACUGACGCUGAGGCACGAAAGCGUG